rnacentral:rRNA from 1 species
GGGUUGUGAGGUUAAGCGACUAAGCGUACACGGUGGAUGCCCUGGCAGUCAGAGGCGAUGAAGGACGUGCUAAUCUGCGAUAAGCGCCGGUAAGGUGAUAUGAACCGUUAUAACCGGCGAUUUCCGAAUGGGGAAACCCAGUGUGAUUCGUCACACUAUCAUUAACUGAAUCCAUAGGUUAAUGAGGCGAACCGGGGGAACUGAAACAUCUAAGUACCCCGAGGAAAAGAAAUCAACCGAGAUUCCCCCAGUAGCGGCGAGCGAACGGGGAGGAGCCCAGAGCCUGAAUCAGCAUGUGUGUUAGUGGAAGCGUCUGGAAAGGCGCGCGAUACAGGGUGACAGCCCCGUACACAAAAAUGCACAUGCUGUGAGCUCGAUGAGUAGGGCGGGACACGUGGUAUCCUGUCUGAAUAUGGGGGGACCAUCCUCCAAGGCUAAAUACUCCUGACUGACCGAUAGUGAACCAGUACCGUGAGGGAAAGGCGAAAAGAACCCCGGCGAGGGGAGUGAAAAAGAACCUGAAACCGUGUACGUACAAGCAGUGGGAGCACCCUUUGGGGUGUGACUGCGUACCUUUUGUAUAAUGGGUCAGCGACUUAUAUUCUGUAGCAAGGUUAACCGUAUAGGGGAGCCGGAGGGAAACCGAGUCUUAACCGGGCGUUAAGUUGCAGGGUAUAGACCCGAAACCCGGUG